rnacentral:rRNA from 1 species
AGAGGGUGCGAGCGUUAAUCGGAUUUACUGGGCGUAAAGCGUGCGUAGGCGGCUUCUUAAGUCGGAUGUGAAAUCCCUGAGCUUAACUUAGGAAUUGCAUUCGAUACUGGGAAGCUAGAGUAUGGGAGAGGAUGGUAGAAUUCCAGGUGUAGCGGUGAAAUGCGUAGAGAUCUGGAGGAAUACCGAUGGCGAAGGCAGCCAUCUGGCCUAAUACUGACGCUGAGGUACGAAAGCAUGGGGAGCAAACAGGAUUAGAUACCCUGGUAGUCCAUGCCGUAAACGAUGUCUACUAGCCGUUGGGGCCUUUGAGGCUUUAGUGGCGCAGCUAACGCGAUAAGUAGACCGCCUGGGGAGUACGGUCGCAAGACUAAA